rnacentral:rRNA from 1 species
UCACUGGUCGAGUCGGCCUGCGCGGAAGAUGUAACGGGGCUAAACCAUGCACCGAAGCUGCGGCAGCGACACUAUGUGUUGUUGGGUAGGGGAGCGUUCUGUAAGCCUGUGAAGGUGUACUGUGAGGUAUGCUGGAGGUAUCAGAAGUGCGAAUGCUGACAUAAGUAACGAUAAAGCGGGUGAAAAGCCCGCUCGCCGGAAGACCAAGGGUUCCUGUCCAACGUUAAUCGGGGCAGGGUGAGUCGACCCCUAAGGC